rnacentral:lncRNA from 10 species
CCAGUGUGUCCCACUUGGACAAGAAUAGAAAUCUCUCUUCUGGAAUAUGAUCUUCUCUGGUUGGAGCCAAUGGUUUCUUUCAGACCUGAGAUAUCCUGAUGAAGCAGACCACACCUGCCCUCAGAGAUGACCUCAUGAGGAAGCUGAGCUGCAUAACAAACAUCUCUGCUGCUCAGCCACCUCCACUCUUUUUCAACAGACCUUGGAGAUAGCACAGCACCCACACCAAAAAAUCAGGAAGCUCUCUUAUCAGCAAUCUUUCUGUACCUAUGAAAUCAGACAUUCCAGCCAUGGCAGAACCUCCUGAGUGGGCCAGAGCCUCAGAGUCAGGAAAAGCUGGGGCCUAAUGAUGUUUCAAAUCAAAUCACUCUGUAGGGGAUUUUCCAUUUAACAUAUUGUGAUUGUGCAGUAACAUUAGUCUUUGCCAUUUAAUUUAUUAAAUUUUAAAAUCUUAUAAUAUCCUCAACACCGUCUUUGUCUCGAUUUAUACAUAUAACAUAUACAUUUUUAUUACAUAUUACAAACAAUUGAUAUAUAUGAAGAACUCUGU